rnacentral:rRNA from 1 species
CCUACGUGGGGCAGCAGUGGGGAAUAUUGGACAAUGGGCGAAAGCCUGAUCCAGCCAUGCCGCGUGUGUGAAGAAGGCCUUCGGGUUGUAAAGCACUUUCAGUGGGGAAGAAAGCCUUGGGGCUAAUACCCUCGAGGAAGGACAUCACCCACAGAAGAAGCACCGGCUAACUCCGUGCCAGCAGCCGCGGUAAUACGGAGGGUGCGAGCGUUAAUCGGAAUUACUGGGCGUAAAGCGCGCGUAGGCGGUCUGAUAAGCCGGUUUGUGAAAGCCCCGGGCUCAACCUGGGAACGGCAUCCGGAACUGACAGGCUAGAGUGCAGGAGAGGAAGGUAGAAUUCCCGGUGUAGCGGUGAAAUGCGUAGAGAUCGGGAGGAAUACCAGUGGCGAAGGCGGCCUUCUGGACUGACACUGACGCUGAGGUGCGAAAGCGUGGGUAGCAAACAGGAUUAGAUACCCCAGUAGUC